CAUGGGCGCAGCCUGAUGCAGCGACGCCGCGUGCGGGAUGACGGCCUUCNGGUUGUAAACCGCUUUUGACUGGGAGCAAGCCCUUCGGGGUGAGUGUACCUUUCGAAUAAGCACCGGCUAACUACGUGCCAGCAGCCGCGGUAAUACGUAGGGUGCAAGCGUUAUCCGGAAUUAUUGGGCGUAAAGGGCUCGUAGGCGGUUCGUCGCGUCCGGUGUGAAAGUCCAUCGCUUAACGGUGGAUCCGCGCCGGGUACGGGCGGGCUUGAGUGCGGUAGGGGAGACUGGAAUUCCCGGUGUAACGGUGGAAUGUGUAGAUAUCGGGAAGAACACCAGUGGCGAAGGCGGCCUACUGGGCACCAACUGACGCUGAGGCUCGAAAGUGUGGGUAGCAAACAGGAUUAGAUACCCUGGUAGUCCAAGGGCGAAUUC
rnacentral:rRNA from 1 species